UACGUAGGGGGCAAGCGUUAUCCGGAUUCAUUGGGCGUAAAGCGCUCGUAGGCGGUCUGUUAGGUCGGGAGUUAAAUCCGGGGGCUCAACCCCCGCUCGCUCUCGAUACCGGCAGACUUGAGUUUGGUAGGGGAAGGUGGAAUUCCUAGUGUAGCGGUGGAAUGCGCAGAUAUUAGGAAGAACACCAGUGGCGAAGGCGGCCUUCUGGGCCAUAACUGACGCUGAGGAGCGAAAGCUAGGGGAGCAAACAGG
rnacentral:rRNA from 1 species